rnacentral:SRP_RNA from 1 species
GCCAGGUGUGGUGGCAAGUGCCUGUAGUCCCAGGUACUCGGGAGACUGAGGUGGGAAGAUUGCUCGAUCCCAGGAGUUCUGGACUGUAGUGUGCUAUGCCAAUCGAGAGUCUGCACUAAGUUCAGCAGCUAUAUGGUAACCUCCUGGGAGUAGGGGACCACCAGGUUGCCUAAGGUGGGUGAACCAGCCCAGGUCAGAAACAGAGCAGGCCAAAACUCCCAUGCUAACCUGUAGUGGAAACGCACCUGUGAAUAGCCACUGCACUCCAGCCUGGGCAACACAGUGAAACCCUGUCUCU